CGGUAGCAUCAUCUUCCACCUCAUCUACAACCCAUGUCCUCCACCGCGUCUUUCGCCCACCCCCACCACAACCACCAUUACUUUCCUUCUUCUUCAGACCUCUUUCCACCUCCACCGCUGCUAGCAUCACCAGAAAAGCUACUCUCUUCAAGUGCCAAAACACUCAACUUCAAAUUAGUUCGUCCACCACCCUCUUCUCUUUUCUGCAUUCACCGCCCG
rnacentral:misc_RNA from 1 species